rnacentral:rRNA from 1 species
GCCUACGGGGGGCAGCAGUAGGGAAUCUUCGGCAAUGGACGAAAGUCUGACCGAGCAACGCCGCGUGAGUGAAGAAGGUUUUCGGAUCGUAAAACUCUGUUGUUAGAGAAGAACAUUGAUUAGAGUGGAAAAUUAAUCAAGUGACGGUAUCUAACCAGAAAGGGACGGCUAACUACGUGCCAGCAGCCGCGGUAAUACGUAGGUCCCGAGCGUUGUCCGGAUUUAUUGGGCGUAAAGCGAGCGCAGGUGGUUUAAUAAGUCUGAUGUAGAAGGCAGUGGCUCAACCAUUGUGUGCAUUGGAAACU